GAGUUUGAUCUUGGCUCAGGAUGAACGCUAGCGGCAGGCUUAAUACAUGCAAGUCGAGGGGCAUCAGCUUAUAGCAAUAUAGGGCUGGCGACCGGCAAACGGGUGCGGAACACGUACACAACCUUCCUUUAAGGAGGGGGAUAGCCCAUAGAAAUGUGGAUUAAUACCCGUAAGAUAGUGGGAUGGCAUCAUACUACUAUUAUAGUUACGACGCUUGAAGAUGGGUGUGCGUCUGAUUAGGUAGUUGGCGGGUAAAGGCCCACCAAGCCUUCGAUCAGUAGCUGAUGUGAGAGCAUGAUCAGCCACACGGGCACUGAGACACGGGCCCGACUCCUACGGGAGGCAGCAGUAAGGAAUAUUGGUCAAUGGACGCAAGUCUGAACCAGCCAUGCCGCGUGAAGGAUGAAGGUCCUCUGGAUUGUAAACUUCUUUUAUAGGGGGCGAAAAAAGGGAAUCUUUCUCACUUGACAGUACCCUAUGAAUAAGCACCGGCUAACUCCGUGCCAGCAC
rnacentral:rRNA from 1 species